AUGAACUGCCUCCCAAAACAUCCGGAGGAAAGACCCGGCAACUCAUCCAUGGUUCUCCACAGCAACAAGGGAGCACGUAACUGCUGCUGUGGCUGGAAGGGAGCGGCGAGAGAAAACCAAGAAACUCAAGUCAUAACAGGCAUCAUUUCAUCAUGUGACAGAAGUUACAAGCUGCAUUAUAAAAUGGGGAAUUGACUUUUAAAGGUACAGGUGUUUAGGCAGGGAGGUGCCAACUACAGAUGGCAUUUGGAAUUUGGUAAUCGUAGGAUCCAGUGCUUUUUUAAAUAAAACAUUCUGUAUCUCUUGUGAGUCUUAACUUUACAGAUGUGCAAUACUACUGUAAAUUGGCCCCACAUCUUGUGAGCCAAGAAAUAAAAAAAUUGACUAAACAAGUGUGAAAUGGCACAAAGUAUGUGGAAAUUCCCUGCAAUAUAAGACAAAUGUUCUGAAUCUAAGAACAAUUGAAGCUGCAAGUCGGGGUGUGUCAAUGUUCAAUCUGGUUUCAAGUCUUACAAAGGUUUCAUUGAUUUGGAAGUCCUGUACCCAUUUAUGAGCUGCCAACAGAAUUAGUAAACGGAAGGUGACGAGCCAUGUUGCUGUGGUCGGUAUGGCUCAGUAGACAAGAACACUGACUUUGGCUCAGUUGGUCGUGGGUUCAAGACCAACUCAUUGGAGCAUCUGUGGUAAAGGAGAGCUAGACAAUGUGCUUUCAGGUCUUUGGACGAUUUUGUAUGCAAUACCCACCUUCACCCAACAGAGGUAGAAAGAGAAGACGACGACCGGAAAUUGCUGUGGCUUGUGUGGCACAAUGAACAAGAACACUGACUUUGGAUCAGUAGGUUCGAGGGUUCAAGACCGACUCGCGGAGGAGUGGUAAGACCGUUUAACGGAGGUGUUGCGCAUGGUGGGAAAGAAUUGACUUUGGCUCAGUAGGUUCAAGAGUUCAAAUCCGAUUCAGGGAGAUAUAAGCAUCCAGUGUCUGUAUUGACAGCUAAAGGUCGAUGGGGUAUAACAUGCUACGGCAAGGGGGAGCCAGGACUUUAGGUAGGAGGGGGGAAUCAUCAUUAUCCCUGUUAAUAUGUAAAUAAUUGAAUUGGAAGUCUAAGUACCUCCUAGAAGAUACCUUAAGAUGAAAACCCCAGAUAAGAGAAAGUCUCAACGCCCCUGACAGUCUCUAGUUGGUAAUCCAGCGCUGGGAUGCACAGGUUAGUCCAGGGACAGAUGAACAGAACCCUGAACGUGGUUGGUUCUUCUUUUUUAAUAUAUAGUUGAUAUAAUACUAUAUAUAGUAGUGUGUAUUUGAUAAUAGUUAUAGUAUUAUUAUGAUAAUAAUACUAUAACUAUUAUUACCAAGAAAACAUCUAUCAACUGUCUUAAGAAAGUUUAUAUAUAUAAUAAUAUAUCUAUCUAUAUAUCUAUCUAUAUAUAUCAACUGUCUUAAUAAGACAGUUGUUAGGUAAAACUGUCUUAAGACAGUUGAUUAGACCUUUCUUAACAACUGUCUGGGGUUAUCAUCCAAGGUAUCUUCUAGGAGGUACUUUGACUUCCAAUUCAAUUAUUUACUUACAUACACUGAAACAUAUUAAUUUACAGGGAUAAUGAUAAUUCCCCCCACACUUCAGCUGUGAAUACAGUCACUGGAUGCUUAUAUCUCCCUGCAUUGGAUUUGAACCCUCGGAACCUACCUGAUCCAAAGUCAGUGUUCUUGUCCACUGUGCCACACCAGCCACAAUAAUUUUGUUUGUCAUCUUCCCUUUCUAGCUCUGUUGGGUGAAGGUGGGUAUUGCAUACAAAAUCGUCCAAAGACUUGAAAGCACAUUGUUUGACUUCCCUUUGCCACAGAUUCUCCCUGAGACGGUAUUGAACCCUCGACCUACUGAACCAAAGUCAGUGUUCUUGUCCACUGAGCCACACCGGCUACAGCGAUGUCACUUGUCACCUUUCCUUUCUAUCAAUAAAUGAGUGCGAGUAUAGCACGCAAAAACAGACCAGGUUGAGUCAAAUUUCACUUCAGUGGAACUCCAUCCAAAGCUUCCUCUUGCCGUUGCUUAUUUUAUUGUACUUCAUCAAGCAUGUAGCUAUGGAUACAGACACUGGAUGUGUCCCGAAUCUCUGAGGUGAACCACCUCAGAGAACCCCUCCCUCGACUUCCCGAACCAAGGUCAGUGUUCUUGAAAAUGAUCCAUUAAGUACCUUUGCAUGGCCUGUAAAAGAUAUUUAAGUAUUAUGGGUUCAGAAGGUGAGCUGUUCUCUAUCACUCGCAUGUGGACAGAAAAUAUCAACAGGUGUCUGCUUUGAAAGUAAUCCGUUACUAGCUAGGAGGUCUUAUGAACAGGGACACUGCACAUUUCCAGAGAAUGGCUAAUCUGGCAGUACCCUCGCCAAUCAGUGGAUUACAGACAUUUUCCAGUUGGAGACAUUUGUUUUGGUGUAUUUCGGCGAUAGAAAGUUUCAUCAACCCCAGCCAUCAUCAUCAUUGAGAUCACUUUGCAUAGCUGACGAUUGGAAUUUUGAAUGAUGUGGAUACCAAAUUCAGAUUUCUCUUUUUGCCGUCCGACACUUUGGAAUUGCCUUGCGGCAUCAAAAAAAGAAACAAGCUCUAGACUGUGUGCAGAAUGAGCACAGCUUGAAAUACCACUCCAUCUCAGCAGAGACCUUUGAUGUCUGAUGUUCUUUAAUGAAACAUCUCGCUCACAUCAGAGCACCCUAUUAAAUUCCGCUCAUACAGGGAGAGCGAGAGAACGAGUGAGAUUGAGAAAGCCAGAGCUCUGACCUUUUUGAGUGUGUGUGUGUGUGUGCGACAGUGAAAAAGAAAAGGAGGGAAUGAAACAACGGUGGCUUCAAACGCGGCCAGAUCACACAAAGGAGAAGAAACUGUCGAAACACACUUCAAAAGUACUUUAUUAAGCAUUAUCAUAAACUCCGUAGGUCAAAUCUACAUCACAGUGUCUACUUACAUCACAGUUUACUUUAUGUGUUUACACAAAUAUGGCAAGCACAGCAAGAUUGGAAAUAAAAACUUAUGUUGAGCUAAAGAUUAACAUUCGUUUUCUGCUAAGAAAUCUCUUCAUGAUAUCCGUGGUGUUUGUUGGGGUUGGUGCACAGUAGCGUUUUUUUCCAGGGAUGUAUAAUUUUGGUUUGGAUAAAAUCGGAAAUGAAAUCUCUCUCUUACAGGGAGAGCUUGAGGUUACACGACUGCAAAUCUUGACCCAUGAAAAAGAAAUGGCUAUGUAGCCAAAAGGCCUCCGUUGUAUAAUGCAAGCCAUGGGUGGAGCUCCUUUGGCUUAGUUACUGUAGCUUACAAGACUUGCAAUAUGAUUAAAGGUCCAAGAGUAAAGGGGAUCUGUUGACAAAAAUUGAGUAUAUUUUUUAUAAUAAUAAUGGGUGUACAAUCACCUUAAACUAAGAAUUGUUACAUUUUAUUAAUUUCAUUCAAUUUUUUAAACUUAAAUUGAGUCCUGUUUAUCUACUAAGGAGGCAGUCCCUCCUUCCACAGAGUCCACCAUUUUGCACUGCUGUGUGUGUGUGUGUGUGUGUGUGUGUGUGUAAGGAUUCAAAAGCGUAAGUCUUUCAAAGAGCGUCACUGCAGAUUGCAGAAGAGAGCUCUGAAGGUGAAGCAUUAUAAACAUCCAGAGUGAGCAUUAACUAAACAGGAGUGGAUUCAAAGAGCAGACAAAGCUUUUAAGGUGUUAAAAGUUAGAGAGUGCGUGUGUGUGAGUGCAUUAUAGAAAGGUGUGUGUGUGUGUGUGUGUGUGUGUGGGUGUGUGCGCCUGUCUUUGCUUAUAUAUAGAUGCUUGUUUUAGCAGUGUGUUUGCUGUAGCGAGGGAGCAUCCGCAAAAGAGCACAAGUGAGGCUACCGCAC
rnacentral:lncRNA from 1 species